GUGAAGAGCAGACAGUGGACAGGGCCGACUGGGCACGGCCUGCAAGCUCCGGGCGGCUCACGAACCCCCUAACAAGUGUGAAAGUGCUUUGAAGAACAGGAGGGGAAGUCCCUGGGCCCCACGCGAGGUGCAGCAGGCGGGCCCCGCUGUGGGAUCGCGGGGGGCCAGAGGCCGAGCGAGCGCCCGCCCCGGCCUGCAGGAGGCGGGAAGGCCCCUGCCACCCUUGCUUUCCCCAGGAGAAAGAUCAAUGCUGUAGGAGUCCUGGGCUAGCCGAGUCACAGGACAUUUUCUUUUCUCCAAGUGUGUUUGUUAUCUGUUGCUGUGUAUCUCAGAACUUGGCAGCUUAAACUGACAAUAAACAUUAAAUCACACCGUU